rnacentral:misc_RNA from 1 species
UCUGUUGCACGAAAUGAGACUUUAGCAAGACUCGUACCUUGGUUACUUUGACGUUAUAUUGAACAGAAUUCUUUCAUUAAAAGUCAUUAAUAAUCUAUUGACAAGUAGCAUAUAAGUGAUCACAAAGUGUCUUCUGGAAUAAAUUGUUCAUUAUAUUAUAAUUCUGCAUAAAAUGAAAGUAUAUAUAACGCAAGUUGGUCCAAUCUAUGUUGUAACAAGCAGUGCAAUCUUCUGCAGCAAAUGAACAUAGGUUACCAGAGAACGCUGUCAAGAAUAUCUGAUUAUAAAAAUAUCAUGUAAAUUGAUUACGAAGGAAAUAUAAAUUAACAAACCCUGAAUUUAGAAUCUUCAAUUAUACAUAACUAUGAAUAUGCAGCAGCGAAAAGAACAAACUAGAUGACACCACUACACACUCGGAAAACCAUUUCCAUAUAUAGUGCACCAUUUCACCGACUGCUGUGAAAUGUACCCUGUUGCAGUAGUUUCGAGUUUAGCUUGCAGGUAGCGACAGUUGGUUCACGACUUCGUUGAAGUUGAUAAUAGUUAAUGUGUCUGACUAAAUGAUGGCGCCACUUGUACGAUUUGAACGAUUCGCAGUGUGAAAAUUCAAGAGGGACUACUAAUAAUAAUUAUGUAAAACAGUGAACGCUGAAGCUUUCUUAUCAUUCGUGUAUCGCAUCCUGUUGUACCAACUGAUACCGACACUGCAUCACAGCGCUCUUGCUGAUACGACCUACAAGGGGACAAGCUUUACUCCAUCACGUGGUACAAGGAUCACGAGGAAUUCUACAGAUACGUGCCU